rnacentral:rRNA from 1 species
CCUACGGGGGACAGCAGUAAGGAAUAUUGCUCAAUGGGGGUAACCCUGAAGCAGCCACGCCGCGUGGAGGAUGACUGUUUUAUGAUUGUUAACUCCUUUUGUUAGAGAAGAUAAUGACGGUAUCUAACGAAUAAGCCCCGGCUAACUCCGUGCCAGCAGCCGCGGUAAUACGGAGGGUGCAAGCGUUACUCGGAAUCACUGGGCGUAAGGAGCGCGUAGGCGGGAUAGCAAGUCAGAUGUGAAAUCCUAUGGCUUAACCAUAGAACUGCAUUGGAAACUGUUAUUCUAGAGUAUGGGGGAGGUAGGUGGAAUUCGUGGUGUAGGGGUAAAAUCCUUAGAGAUCAAGAGGAAUACUCAUUGCGAAGGCGACCUGCUAGAACAUAACUGACGCUGAUGCGCGAAAGCGUGGGGAUCAAACAGGAUUAGAUACCCGAGUAGUC